CAAAGCGGUCAUGUGCCAUCACAGUUGGAAGCAUGUCAUUCAUGGAUCCGAAAAGGAUAAAAAGGGACAUCUGUGUCAGGCAGUCUGCAUGGAAGAUGGCCCUGCUGUGAGUUAAGAUGUCACAAUCAUCUUUGGGACCAUGAUGGAGAUGAAACAGAUGUCAGCUGAGGACAGGUUGGAGAGGAAGAAGCACAUAGGGGUGCAGAGGUGGGAGUCAGAGCUGACAGCGAAGAUGAUGAGCAGGUUCCCAAGCACUGUGACCAGGCAAGGCUCCUGCAGGUGCAGAAACUGAAUUUCUAGAAUUCUGAAUAUGCUGGAGAUACCUGGCCCAGAAAAAGAUGGGUGAGAAUCACAAGCUUGAGAUCAGGUUAUUCUAUCAGUGGCUGACCUAUCCUCUCAGGUGUAAAGAGGGAAAAGUCCACCUAUACCUCACACCCAUGUUCAUUCUUUUUAGUAUGGUAUCAAAUUGAUUGUAGGAAAAGAGA
rnacentral:lncRNA from 1 species